rnacentral:rRNA from 1 species
AGCGAACGCUAGCGGCAGGCUUAACACAUGCAAGUCGAGCGCCAGGUUUCGGCCUGGAGCGGCGAACGGGUGAGUAACACGUAGGUCACGUACCCUAUGGCGGGGAAUACCCCGGGGAAACUCGGAUCAAUGCCCCAUAUGUCCGAAAGGAUGAAAGCGCUUCGGCGCGCCAGAGGAUCGGCCUGCGGCCCAUUAUUUAAUCCUAGUUGGUGAGGUAACGGCUCACCAAGGGUACGAUGGGUAGCUGGUCUGAGAGGACGAUCAGCCACACUGGAACUGAGACACGGUCCAGACUCCUACGGGAGGCAGCAGUGGGGAAUAUUGGACAAUGGGCGAAAGCCUGAUCCAGCCAUGCCGCGUGAGUGAUGAAGGCCUUCGGGUUGUAAAGCUCUGUCGUGGGGGAAGAAGUUCUGACGGUACCCCACAAGAAAGCACCGGCUAACUCCGUGCCAGCAGCCGCGGUAAAAC